UGAUGUUGUCUCCUGUCCCUCUCCAUGUCCAUGUGAUGUUAGGAGGAGAUCCAGAGCCGAUUCCUGGGGCGGUGCAGGUCAGAGUCGCUGGUUCUCCCUCUGUCAGAGGAGGAGUCAACACUGAGGGCUUCUGGGUUAGAGCUGGAGACAGGAAAUACAAACACAGAAGACAACCACAACUACCACCACCACCAACAGCAUCACCCUGGACCAUCGCCUUCAGUCCAGCAAAGAUAACAGGAGAGAAGGGACUAUGUGCUGUAAUUUCAUGCACCUUCAAUCAUGCAGAGAACUUCAAACCUACUGCAGCAAUAUGGUUCAAAUGUCCUAAAAAUGGCAAAUGUGAUCAGGAUGAAAAUAUAAUUAUCCACUCUGAAACUCCCUCUGAAGCUCAGGAGGGUUAUGAACAGAAAGUGUCUCUACUGGAGACCGAUCUGACAAAGAAGAACUGUAGUGUGAUCAUCAACGACAUCAGAGAGAAUGACACUGGAGAGUAUCAAUUCAGACUGCUAAGUGCAUAUACAUACCCCAAGAAAGUGAAAAUCACAGUGAAAGUUAGCAACUACACAGUGAUGUAGCAACUACAGAUUUCCCUUUUAAGUCUAUCAAAAGUGUGCAAGUUUGAGCAUGUGUCCAUUAGACCUCUAUGGAUAUUUUUUUUUAAAUCAGCAUGAAUUAGAUUGAGCAAUAAAAGCCCACUUUUAUUCCAUA